CGACGUGUCCCCAUGCUGAGCCAUAGGGCACAACCACCCCACGGCUCCGGGCAGCGCAUGGCACAAAGUUGGUGGCACAUCCCGUGCGCGCGCAGAGAGCGCAGUGCCAGCAUGGGCUGUGCAGGGCUGCACCCCACCGAGCCAACCUGCGCCUGGCAGCCAGCAUGCAAGGUGUGCACACGGGCACGCUGCUCCUCGGUGCUGCCCCUGCACCGCUACGAACCUGAGACGUUGACGGAGAAGUAGGUGGUCUCGCUCCCCGAGGGGCUGUUGGUCAUGCAGGCAUAGAGCCCCGAGUCCUCGGGCACCGCGUCCCGCACCUCUACCUCCUCGCCGGUGAUGCGCGUGCGGUUGUUCUCGGGCAGCUGCACUCCAUCACGCACCCAGUUGAUGCUCUGCACGUCAUCGCGCAGCCGGCAGCGCAGCUGGAGGAGAUCGCCGGGGUGCGCCGAGUGGGACUCCACCUCGAUGUUCGCUUUGGGCAGAGCUUGGUCGGGCAGCGUGG
rnacentral:lncRNA from 1 species